rnacentral:misc_RNA from 1 species
GAUGAAGAACGUAGCGAAAUGCGAUAAGUAGUGUGAAUUGCAGAAUUCAGUGAAUCAUCGAAUCUUUGAACGCACAUUGCGCCCGCCAGUAUUCUGGCGGGCAUGCCUGUUCGAGCGUCAUUUCAACCCUCAAGCACAGCUUGGUGUUGGGACUCGCGUUAAUUCGCGUUCCCCAAAUUGAUUGGCGGUCACGUCGAGCUUCCAUAGCGUAGUAGUAAAACCCUCGUUACUGGUAAUCGUCGCGGCCACGCCGUUAAACCCCAACUUCUGAAUGUUGACCUCGGAUCAGGUAGGAAUACCCGCUGAACUUAAGCAUAUCAAUAAGCGGAGGA